rnacentral:rRNA from 1 species
AUGCCUAAUACAUGCAAGUCGAGCGAAUGGAUUGAGAGCUUGCUCUCAAGAAGUUAGCGGCGGACGGGUGAGGAAUGCAUCGGAAUCUACUUUUUCGUGGGGGAUAACGUAGGGAAACUUACGCUAAUACCGCAUACGACCUACGGGUGAAAGCAGGGGAUCUUCGGACCUUGCGCGAUUGAAUGAGCCGAUGUCGGAUUAGCUAGUUGGCGGGGUAAAGGCCCACCAAGGCGACGAUCCUGUAGCUGGUCUGAGAGGAUGAUCAGCCACACUGGAACUGAGACACGGUCCAGACUCCUACGGGAGGCAGCAGUGGGGAAUAUUGGACAAUGGGCGCAAGCCUGAUCCAGCCAUACCGCGUGGGUGAAGAAGGCCUUCGGGUUGUAAAGCCCUUUAGUUGGGAAAGAAAUCCAGCUGGCUAAUACCCGGUUGGGAUGACGGUACCCAAAGAAUAAGCACCGGCUAACUUCGGUGCCAGCAAGCCGCGGUAAUACCGAAGGGGUGC